GACGAACGCUGGCGGCGUGCUUAACACAUGCAAGUCGAACGGUAAGGCCCUUCGGGGUACACGAGUGGCGAACGGGUGAGUAACACGUGGGUGAUCUGCCCUGCACUUCGGGAUAAGCCUGGGAAACUGGGUCUAAUACCGGAUAGGACUCCGGACUGCAUGGUCUGGGGUGGAAAGCUUUUGCGGUGUGGGAUGGGCCCGCGGCCUAUCAGCUUGUUGGUGGGGUGAUGGCCUACCAAGGCGACGACGGGUAGCCGGCCUGAGAGGGUGACCGGCCACACUGGGACUGAGAUACGGCCCAGACUCCUACGGGAGGCAGCAGUGGGGAAUAUUGCACAAUGGGCGCAAGCCUGAUGCAGCGAUGCCGCGUGAGGGAUGACGGCCUUCGGGUUGUAAACCUCUUUCAGUAGGGACGAAGCGCAAGUGACGGUAGGUGCAGAAGAAGGACCGGCCAACUACGUGCCAGCCGCCGCCGUAA
rnacentral:rRNA from 1 species